rnacentral:misc_RNA from 1 species
UAUUGUCCUCCUCGAGGGUGUCGCCCAGGGGUCGCGUGUUUCUCGUCMUGCGUCGGGACGGCGCAUGAGUGGCUUUUAGGAUGUGAUCCCAGGGCUGGCUCCAUGUUUCUACCAUCGAAUUGCCCUGGUCCGUCCGCUUCAUUAGGUGGCUCGCCUCAACGGCCUUCCAGGGUUGGUUGCGGCUGCACGGCGGGUUCCUGUGUUCGAUAUUCUGAUACGGCAGUCGGACGGGUAUACUCGUCCCUUCAUGGUUCCGUCGAUCCACCUCCGUCUCUCUUGAGUUGGUGACUAUCAUCGAGCGGGCAUCUGACGUCCUCCAUCGGGAAAGGCGACCCCCUCUCGGGCGCUUCUUCUCGUGAAGGGGGGCGUAGGUGCUGACGGGCAUGCUCUCGGGUAUGGUGGUGUUUUCGUUGGUUUCCGCAUCGGUCCUCGUCGGCCGUUUUGUGACCCAUAAGUGUCGUGAGGCGUUAGCGCUAUUGCUCGCUCGACUCCCCCGCUUUUUCUCCAAGGGCUCACGGAGCUUCACCGCUCCGUGAGCGUCUUGGGGAGGCACGGUGGUAUAUGGAGGGAUGCUACCUGGAUGAUCCUGCCAGUAUCAU